rnacentral:snoRNA from 1 species
GUGAAAGCUUGUAGAUAGGUCUGACCUGAAAUGAGCAUGUGGACAAAUUUAACACUGAAGAA